CGCACAAGCGGUGGACCAUGUGGUUUAAUUCGAAGCAACGCGAAGAACCUUACCAGGUCUUGACAUCCUUUGCCACUUCUAGAGAUAGAAGGUUCCCCUUCGGGGGACAAAGUGACAGGUGGUGCAUGGUUGUCGUCAGCUCGUGUCGUGAGAUGUUGGGUUAAGUCCCGCAACGAGCGCAACCCUUGAUCUUAGUUGCCAGCAUUCAGUUGGGCACUCUAAGGUGACUGCCGGUGACAAACCGGAGGAAGGUGGGGAUGACGUCAAAUCAUCAUGCCCCUUAUGACCUGGGCUACACACGUGCUACAAUGGAUGGUACAAAGGGCUGCGAGACCGCGAGGUUUAGCCAAUCCCAUAAAACCAUUCUCAGUUCGGAUUGCAGGCUGCAACUCGCCUGCAUGAAGCUGGAAUCGCUAGUAAUCGCGGAUCAGCAUGCCGCGGUGAAUACGUUCCCGGCCCUUGCACACACCGCC
rnacentral:rRNA from 1 species